GUAAAUUAUCCAAUCUGAGGACCACAAAAUUUGGUCAAAUGAUGGAUCAAACACCUUGAGAAAACACUAAUAGCCAUUCAGUAAUGAGCAACUGGAAUCCGCACUGCACUAAUGCAAGGAGUCUGUAUUCUGAGGACUAUUUUGUAUUUAAAGUAUGCAGACCACAUGCCUGGCUUACUUUGAUCUGCUGUACUUACCAUAGUUCGCACGUUGGUUUGUCAACCUGUUUGAUCACCUGCCACUUCUGCUUUUGCCUGGGUGAAUGUCCCUGUGUGCCCAGAUCUCAACAAUAACUCUGGAGA